rnacentral:rRNA from 1 species
AUUGAACGGCUGGCGGCAUGCCUUACACAUGCAAGUCGAACGGUAACGCGGGGCAACCUGGCGACGAGUGGCGAACGGGUGAGUAAUGCAUCGGAACGUGCCCAGUAGUGGGGGAUAGCCCGGCGAAAGCCGGAUUAAUACCGCAUACGACCUACGGGUGAAAGCGGGGGACCGUAAGGCCUCGCGCUAUUGGAGCGGCCGAUGUCAGAUUAGGUAGUUGGUGGGGUAAAAGCCUACCAAGCCAACGAUCUGUAGCUGGUCUGAGAGGACGACCAGCCACACUGGGACUGAGACACGGCCCAGACUCCUACGGGAGGCAGCAGUGGGGAAUUUUGGACAAUGGGCGCAAGCCUGAUCCAGCCAUGCCGCGUGCGGGAAGAAGGCCUUCGGGUUGUAAACCGCUUUUGUCAGGGAAGAAACGCUCUGGGUUAAUACCUCGGGGUAAUGACGGUACCUGAAGAAUAAGCACCGGCUAACUACGUG